rnacentral:rRNA from 1 species
CAACUUUCAACAACGGAUCUCUUGGCUCUCGCAUCGAUGAAGAACGCAGCGAAAUGCGAUACGUAGUGUGAAUUGCAGAAUUCAGUGAAUCAUCGAAUCUUUGAACGCACCUUGCGCCCCUUGGCAUUCUGAGGGGCACACCCGUUUG